rnacentral:rRNA from 1 species
CCUAUAGUUAAUAAUGGUAGACCCGAAAGUAUAUGAUCUAUAUAAUACCAGGUUAAAUAUAAUUAUAUAUUUUAAUUAUAGAUAUUAUAUAAUAUAAUAUAUAUGAAAAUUAUAGUUAUAGAAUAGUUCUAUUUUUAAUUAAGGCUGUACACCCGCCGCUAUUUAGCGGCGGGUUAUUACAGCCAUAUGGUAGUUUAAUUUAGACCUAACAGGUGGGUGUUGCAAUACCCUCUGAAGAGUAUUGUAUAGUUGUGAAAGGCAAACCUCAUAUACAGAUAGCUGGUUGUCUAUGAAAUAUAUGUUAGUAUAGCGGUUAGUUAUAUCAAUACAUGGUAAAUCACUAAAUUAGGUAUAUUUUUUAUAUUUAUACAUAGUGGGAGCUGGGAACGGUUUAUCAUACUAAUUUAAUAUCUGAACAUGUUAUUGUAUAUCUAUACCAGUCAGUUAUAAUGCGAUAAGGUAUUAUAACUAAUAGGGAAUAACCUAAACCAUUAAGUGUAAGUCCUUUAUUAUAUCCAAGUGGUAUUAAACUGAUAGGUAGAUAUAAUAAUUAUAAGGGUUCUAUGGUACAAUAUAAAAUAUCAUUAUAACCGCCGCCUAUGGCGGCGGUAAAGAGGUAUAUUUAUAUAACCAUACAUCACUUUAUUUUAUUAUAUAAAUAAAUUAGCUAAAUGGUGAAUAUAAUAGUAAUUAUCUACUAAGGAAUGUGUAAAAACUCAUUGGCAAAAUAUGAAGGCUUAUCAGUGAAGAUAUACGGGCCUAAGAUAUAGACUGAACUAUGGUAGCUAAACAAUGGCAAAAAUACAUAAUAUAUAACCCGCCGCCUAUGGCGGCGGGUAAUGGAAGUAUGUAUAUCAACUUGUCUAUAGCUAGGUAAUAGACCAUACUCUAUUAUAAGAGUACUGAAUAUGCUGACUUGAGUAACGUUAGAAAGGAUAACCCUUUCCUCCUAUAUAUAAGGUUUUAACAUAAAUUAACGGUCACUAACUAUAGGUAUGAAUAUAGCUAUAGGAUGUGUGAUAUAACUAGAAAAUUAUAUUAACCGUACUGUAAACCGACACUGGUAUAUAAAUCAUUACGAUAUACUACACUAGUCAUAAUAAAUAAAAAUAUUUUUAUAUUAUAUAAUAGUCUUAAUAUUAAUAAAUAUUUUAUAUAAAUUUAAUAUGGUUUAGUAUAGCAAAUAUAAUGAUAAAGGAGUAUGAGGAAACCCAUAUGAAUGAACUCGGCAAUAGGGGUAAAGCCCUGUAUAUAGUGCGACUGUUUACCAAAAACAUAGCUUAUUGCAGUUCAAAAAUGAAUAGUAUAAUAAGUGAUACCUGCCCGGUGUCUGAUAUAUAAUAUAUAAACGUCAGAUAAACGGCGGUCUUAUCAUGAGGAUCCUAAGGUAGCGAAAUUCCUUGACGUUUAAUUGGCGUCCUGCAUGAAUGAUUACACGAUGCUAUAAAUGUAUCCAUAUGGGGCUCAGUGAAAUAGUAAUUGCAGUGAAGAUACUGUAUAGCAAUAGAUUGACGAGAAGACCCUAUACAGCUUUACUAUAUAAUUGUUUUGAUGUGAUAGAUUACAUAGUAUCUAUAACUAUUUAUAUAAUAUAAUUUAUUAUUAUCUAAUUACAUAUUAUUAUCCUUAUAGUAUUUUAUCUAUAAUAUUUUACAUAUUUUAUAUAUCUUCUAUAACUAAUAAAAUAUAUGAUAAUUAUUAUAAUAUAGAUAAUAUGAUAUAAUAUAAUUAUAGUGAACAUAAUCUGUAAUGAUCAAUUUAAAUUAAAUUAAUAUAUAUUUAGGUUGUGAAUUAUGACAUCUAAUCAUAUAGCCCGCCUAUGGCGGGCAUAAUAUAUAUAGAAUAUUAAGUAUAUAUAUAUUAUUGAAACAUAGCAAUUUAGGUAGUUUCGAUGGGAAGUCGACAUCACAAAAAAUAACUGAUGUGACUAUAUGAUAAUAGUUAUAACUAACGAUUUAAAAUAAAUGAAAAUAGUAUAACAAAAUACAGUGAUAUUAGGAUGCAACUAAUAGAAUAUUAUUACAUAAAAGUAAGUGUUCUAUGGUUAUGAAAUAUAUCUACAUUAAACCCGCCGCCUAUGGCGGCGGGUUGUAUAUAUUGAUAAUCAUAGUCAUAUAUACUAUGUAAAUAUAAUGAUAAGGUUAAUAGCCUAACUGUGUUAAAAUUGGUAUAUAAACAAAUAGACCAAAUACGUAAGUAGAGUAUAGUGAACAAACAUAUGUUAUAGUAGAACAGUGUUGACAACGGAUAAAAGUUACGUUAGGGAUAACAGGGUAAUACCGCUAGAGAGUUGAUAUCGUCAGCGGUGUUUGCCACCUCGAUGUCGUCUAGACUCAACCUUAUGGUCGUAGCAGCUAUAAAGGGUAUGACUGUUCGUCAUUUAAAGAGUUACUUGAGAUGGGUUAAUUACGGCGUGAGCCAGUAAUGUUUCUAUCAUCUAUUGCACAGCCUAUUAUUUUAUUAUAUGUGUACGAAAGGAUAUAUAUAAUCUAAAUCCAUGAUGUUAACAAGUAAACAACUAUUAAAAUUAAUAAUAUUAAUUUAUAUAAGGAAACAUAUAUGAAAAAUAUUAUAAAAAUAAUUAAUUAAUAAUUAACGGGUUUACAGUUAAUAGUUAAAUUUAGGUGAAAUAGGUACUGAUUUCGUAUCAAAAUACCAAGUCUAUAAUAAGAGGCUGAAAACAUUAUAGAUAAUAAUGAAAUAAUAAAUGAAUAUGUGGGACGCGUGUAUGGUUAGGACUAUAGCACGUUGGUACUAUACAUAAUGACUGAUAGCCGCCGCCGUAGGCGGCGGCUUACAGUAUGUAUACAUAAUAUAUAUUAUACCAUUUUUUAAUAUAUUCUACAUCUAUUAAAUAAUGUUAUACAUUAUGGUAUAUUUAGUUUAUAUUUUAAACUAAUAUAAGUUACAUUUAUUAAUAUAAAUUAUAUGAAAUUUAUAUCAUAUAAUAGGCCGCCUAUGGCGGCCUUAAAUUAAUAUAAUUACAAUUACCUCUACAUA